rnacentral:misc_RNA from 1 species
UUUCUGAGGCCAUUUCCUGGGUUCCAUUCUGAGUUUGGGAAGGAAUGUCUUUGCUCAGGUGGUUCAUCAAGUCAUCAGUGCAAAGCAACACUACGAGCAUGGCCGGUGUCGUGAUCAGGCGUUUGGCUGGCCGGUCUGACUUGAAGCGUGUGGCUAAGUUGGUCCAGCAAGAAGGGUGGGAUUUGUCUCUCUCGACUCUGAUAAAGUUUAACGACAUCGGCCUCUCGGAUUGGUGGGUGGCAGAAAGCAGUGACGGCAGGGUCAUUGUAACUUCCUAUCCUCCAAAAGUCUAAGUAAGGACAGAUGAACCAUUUAUACUGGCUAUCUUUGGAUGAGGAGUACAGCCUUUUAUUACCCUUAAGAUAAAUUUGUCAACAAACUUUAUGGAUGAAUAAAGAAGCAAAACACCA